rnacentral:lncRNA from 1 species
AUGAAGAGAGAAAUGACUAAGCAACUAUACAGCCCUGCUUGUGGGAGAGGAACUGGGAAACGUUCCAGAGAUUGCAGAGAUUUAGACGAUACAGAGGAACUGGGAUGCCUGCCUCUUGCUAAACAAACAAAAAUUAGUGAAUAUGAAGGUACAAAGGAUAUUUUUAAUGUUCUGGUUUCGAACUCUUUCACACUGCUAGCAGAGAUGAAUGACGAGGAAACCAGUGUGAAAGAACCUUUUGAUAACCUGCCUACUAAACCUUCAAGCAAGGGUAAUGCUGGUAUCCACUCGAAUGACUGCACUAGAGCCCGUGAAAGCUGCAUUGAUGAGAUACUAUUUGAACACUCGACUACUCUAGACCUAGUUGCUAAAACGGUGGACUAUAUCUUUAAAUACAUAAAAGACAUCCGAGGAUCCUUGGAGAAGAUUAUUUCGCUUGUAUCCCUAACAGGUAAAGACACUUCCCCUGAUGUACCACCUGAGAUGAAGCCCUUACAAAUGCCCAGAGCACCCGUUUUACCUCAUACCUCCUGUGUAAUUCCUCAAGCUGCUGGCAAUCAGAAAAGUGAGCAAAGUGAGCAAAAUAAGAAGGAACAACACUUUGCACCUCCUCACAAACUGCUGCUGCAAGCUACCAAAAUCUGCCUAACGGUUUGCCCCUUUAGAGGCAAGGUGAUAAACUGGCAUUAUAAGAGUGAUAUAAGGAGACACCUAGCGGAGUUUCUGAGGGUAACCCCUAGCUCUAUUGACCUGAAGCAUACUGAUCAUAUUAGCAGCAGACCUCAGAGGCAGAGAGUGCUGCUCUCCUUUAAAACCAAAAAGCUCCCUGCACUUAUUAUGUCCUCAAGAAGCCUUCUAAUUAACGAUGGAAUCCUUGCUACAAGAGUCUUUACCAAUACCAAGAUCUGCCCCCUCUUACCAAACUGCUUGUUCAAAAAGAAAGCAGACAAGUCUGAGGGUCUGCCAAUUGCCACGGCCCCAACUCCCCUGGCCGCAGAUCUAAUCAGCUGGAUUGACGCCCCCUGCCUCCAUUGA